CUUCGUCAAUUAGUGUACUAACAUUUCCUUAUACGCUUCGACUACUCUGAUCUCGAUUUCAAGAAAGAGAACCUAAGGAGUCAAUCCACGAACUAGUUCCGACGCAUACUCGAAUAAUUGUAGCUACCACACGAUUUACACUAGUAUUCCUUGGACCUUUUCCUCAUACAGAGAAUUACCUGUAGAAAGAUAAAACGUAACUUGAAACUAAUUAAUAAAAUGACAUGUAAAAGGUUUUAAGUUCCUAACCGAAGAAUGAGUAAUGUUUACCAAGGUCAGAAAUAAGAAUCAAAAAUGUCAAUGUAUUUCUUGUUAGAAGUUUAAGUGACUGGACACGAAACACUGUCAUGAAGUGACAUACAAGUAAUAUAUACGUACAUCGUUAUGAAGGAAAGUUAGAUAAGUAAUCAAGCAUUCGAUCUAGCAUACGGUUCAACAUAAAUGACCUGUGAACGAUGAGAAAAGGAACACGUUAAUAAGUCAGGACCAAUAUAAAACACCAUAAAGACUCAACGUAUUUACUGAGCUUUGUAGCCCUCGAUGAUUUAGAACGGACAUGACUUAAACACGAAAAAACGUUAUAGUUUUAUACCAAGAGGAAGUUUCAUAAUAAAAAGGAAGAUGACUUAUACGAAGACCUUUCCUAGAGUUGUCUAGUUGAUCUUCCUCUUCUCUCGUCGGUUUCUCUUCAAUUCUUGUUCUGUGUACGAAGUCUAAUUGAGGAUAAGGACCUGGAUAUACGAAAACUAUUAACUUAAUCUAUUUUGUUCAUAUAUAAAGAUUAGCAUACUAAAACUGUACGUCGAUUCAAAAGGUAUACAGACUGAUAACACAACGGCACGUUUAUACGUCUUCCUACCAAAUGGAAAAACCCUGAACCAAAACACUUAGCUACACAAUAGAACUCGUUUAUAGAAUAGUAACAUGUUACAAUAUUAUACUUGAAGAUGAUAACUAUAUACUAUGACAUACACCUUACACAGUUAUGUAUAUAUGAACGCCGUUGAAGAUUGACUUUAAAUAAAAAGUGGAUGUUUUUAUAUAUCUUAGAAGCAGGUACAAAAAUACAGCUAUGGACUAAAUGUACAGGUAUGUCAACCCGACAAGCUCGAUUGUGACGUUCCG
rnacentral:rRNA from 1 species